AUUGAACGCUGGCGGCCGGCUUACUACAUGCAAGUCGAGCGAGCGGCGGACGGGUGAGUAAUAUCUGGGAAACUGCAUGAUGGAGGGGGAUAACUAGUGGAAAAGGUAGCUAAUACAGCAUACCAUCAGAGGUGCCCAGAUGGGAUUAGCUGGUAGGUGGGGUAAUGGCUCACCUAGGCGACAAUCCCUAGCUGGUCUGAGAGGAUGACCAGCCACCCGGGAACGGAGACACCGUCCAGACUCCUACGGGAGGCAGCAUGGGGGAAUAUUGCACAAUGGGCGCAAUCCUGAUGCAGCCAUGCCGCGUGUGUGAAGAAGGCCUUCGGGUUGUAAAGCACUUUCAGCGAGGAGGCGUUACUCGCAGAAGAAGCACCGGCUAACUCCGUGCCAGCAGCCGCGGUAAUAC
rnacentral:rRNA from 1 species